UUGCUCUCUCUAUAAAACAGCUACCCCUCCUGCAUGCAGUUGAGGGUUCCUGAACAUUUAGAAGGCAGAACACGAGCCAGGUUCUGAGGGCUGAUCACCCGAGGACCCCCUCCCGCUCACCGAAUCUACCGAAUCUUUUGCAGAGCGUAACGAAUAACGAAUAUGCUGUUGUCUCUGUUGUCCCUUGUAUGUCUGAUAAGUUAUUAUAUCAACACAGCACUACUUGCAAUCCACCUUUCAUGUGCCUCUGCCAACAUCUGAAGAAGUGAUUAAUAUGACACUUGGAAGGAAUUCUUUUCCAGGACUCUACUAUUAAAAUCUAAGGGGUAAACUCUGGUUUGUUCUAUGAGGAUGUGCAAAGGGGUGAAGUGAGCACUGGAACCUUCUUUCCUUUUCAUUGGUGCACCUGUGCAGGUGUUAGAUCAAAUACUGAUUUAGUGCUCCCCAUUACCUAGGAGUUGUCUAAUGUGCCAGGAGGCAGCUAACAUCUCCAGGAAAGCACAGUCAUCCAGAUAGAGUGUGUGGCCAAAUUCCUGCCUUGCCUUCCCCCAGAAGCUGGUCUUGGGGGACAGCAUGCUGCACUUCUCUUCAGAAGCAUUUAGAUCUGCUGUUGAGUGUAUUCUCCUCAGGCCCCACAUGUGGAAAAUGUCUGAAAAUCUUCGUAUGACUUCUACAGCUCUUAUUCCUUUCACCACCAACCAGAGCAGUUCAGAGGAUCCUCUCCUGAGGAAGCAGAGCCACAGAACAGGAAUAGGAAGAGGCAGG